UGCCUUUGAGAGAGAGAGGGAGAGAGACAGCGAGGCUGCCUGCCUGCGCCAGGGAGAGAGCGCAGAAAUGGAGGGAAAAGAAAACGUCAAGACCGAGUGUUUCAAGGCAGUCAGCUUUAUACACUGCAGGGCUAUUCCUGCCAAAGAAAAAAAAAAUCUCUGCUCCAGCUACAUAAUGUAAAAAUGUACUUAAACCUCUCCCUCCUGGAUUUUUUUCCUUUUAAAAAAAUACUUUAUGCUUCUCUAAUGCUCAUGCAAAGGUAACAGCUAUCCAGAACAACACAAGGACAUUUCUGAAACCUGGCCUUUGACAUCAGGUAGUGAGAAACAUGGUCUAAACUUAACAUAUCACUGUGACAAAAGGUCUAGUACUAUUCUGUCAAAUAUAGUCAGGCAGAUUCCAUUUAAAGACAUAUGCUAAAACUGUGUAUCUUACUCAAGAGAAUAAGCUGGAUCUUAAAAAAUGAAUGCUACAGUUUAAACAGUCGUGUUGCAGGCAGUGGAAUAUGUUGCUUUACCUCUUUUGAGAAUCCUCCAGAGUCACACAAAUCCAGCUCUGCAAAAGCAAAAGGACAGACUCCAUCUUGAUCAUAUUUGUAUUUUGCUGACAUAAAACACUUGUAACUACUUCGUUCCAGUUUGACAGGGUGCCUGAAUCAUGUCUUCAGUGUAACCCACAGCAUCUACAUCCUUUGCUCUAUACAAAUUUAGUGAAUAUCGUCUGUUUAUCUUUUCUGCUUUCUUCUGCCUUCUCUGAACGACUUCCUCUUAGCUGUUCCAGCCUGAGAACUUGGAUUACCAUUUGGUUUUGAUUAAAACCAGACGGACAGCUCCAUGGAAAUUUGAGGAAACCAGUCACAAGGAAUAAAAUUGAAAAAUUUAUAAGUGGGGACAUAUUUAAAAGACAGGUUUGCUGACUGACUACAAGAGAAUUUGCUGUGCACACAAAAGGUAAGCAGAGAAGAGCCACAAAAUCACACUGGAAGAGAUCUGUGAUAAUUUCAGGUAAUGUUUCUUAAAAUUUAAAAGGAAA